rnacentral:snRNA from 1 species
CUGAUGGCAUCACAUAUAUUAAAAUUGGAACAGUACAGAGAAGAUUAGCUUGGAUCCUGCACAGAUUUGUUAAGUGGUCUAAAUUUUU